GGGUCGGUGGUCGAGUGGUCUAAACCGUUGGUUUUCGACCGCUACGACCCGGGUUCGAAUCCCGCAUUGGGCACU
rnacentral:tRNA from 1 species